AGAAAAAAAAUGCAGGAAGCAAGCAUGAGAAACACCGGGAAGCUCAUCAUCUAGCAACCCUCCCAUAAGCCGAGAGACAGAAAGCACAGCGCACUGGAACUGCUGAAAUUCAGGGGCUUCAAAGGACCAUGACAGCACAAGAGGUGGGGCCUCUCUUUGUAACUCCAUCUGUCCUGAAACUCACUAUGUGAACCAGGCUGGCUUCAAAUUCAGAGAUUCUCCUGCUGGGAUCAAAGUCAUUAUGAGCCCAGUUUACAGAUGGUACCACUGAUGCAAAAAGAAAUUACAGUACUGGAACCGGGUUUUAAGCUCUACGGCAAGUACCAAGUGCGCAGAUGUCCCUAGGCAUCCAGACUAAGCUAUGAAUAAAAGAGAAAAGAAGGCAGAGAAACUUCUAAGGGAAGAACUGACAAGUGGAGAUCAGGAGAAAACAAAAAGAACUGAAAUGGAAACACUCACCAGAAAAAAAAAAUCCAUUUUUUUAUGUGAAGUGGAGACCGUGGUUAAAAUGAAGGCAUCCACACUGGGUUUCUUCAUUCAUCAUACUCCAGUCCAUGAAAAAUUCAUGGAUGGUUUGAAUUAAACAUGCUAUCAUAUUUAGUUUAAUUUUAGCUCAGGCUAAAAUUCAGAUGUUCUUACACCUCCAGAGUCUGGUUCAAUAAUGAAUGAGGAUUCUGACAGUGAGGUAGUGAGUGACAGUUAGGGCCUCAAGCAGACCCCAAACCGUAGGCUGGCGAAGCAUGGGGGCUUUCCGGCCGUAGAGGUUGGGAUCUCGCUGUGUAAGCUUUCCAGUAUAAAGACCGAUGCUGGCAGACACCAGACAGGACUUCAAUGGUUCCUCGUGUCUUGGCACAGUGUGAAUCUCUUCAACACCAUUAUCAAGAAACAAGAGUUCAAGUAAGUCAGACUAUCCCCUCCACUCACAGUCUUGGGCAAGAACAGACAAAAGUGAGUGAAAUCUUAGUGUCAAUUAUUUGGGGGUAGAGGAGGGAUGGAGAAAUUGAGCCACUGGGGACUUCUUCCAUUACAAAACUAGUUAUUUUCAGUUUUCCUGUGUUGUAAGAGGAGCCCCAUGUCAGCAAUCUCUGAGAGGGAAGGUGUAGAGGGUGAGCCUUCAUUAGACUCAGCCUGCGAUAUUCAGUUACAUUUUGGGAGUCUUCGAAAAUUUAGUGGGUAGCUAGAAAGAUGGCUCAGUGGGUAAAAGACUAAGCAGACAUAAAGACAUGGAUUAAAUCUGUGUCUAGAACCCAACAAAAGCCAGGUGCACUCUUGGGCAUCUGUAAUCCCAGAACUCCCACGGAGUGGCAGAACUAGGAAAUCCCAGAAGCUUCUGGCCAGGUAUCAUGGCUUCCACAACAGCCAACAAGAAGGUAAAAGGCGAGGACCAAUGUCUGAGGCUGUCCUCUGAUCACCACGUGUGCAACACAGCAUACAUGCACCCCACACACAUAUACAUACAUAUAAAUACAUAUACACACAUCAUAUAUUACACAGAGAAGGAUUUUCUUAUUCUUCAAAUAUUAAACCAUUCUUGCAUCUUGAAGUAGGCCAAUUUCAACACAGCAUAUUCACCUUUUUUAAAGCAUUGCUUUGUAAGAAUAACUUUACAGUAAAGUUGACUUAAGGUAAAAACAUGGUUGUAAUUUGAUUGUGCAAAGACCCCCAUAGGCUCGGGAACUUGAGAACUUGGUCCCUAGCUGAAGAAUAGGCCUCCAUCAUGUUCUACUGCGGCCACAGCUUUCUGCCACGCCGUAUUAACAUGAUGAUCUGUGCGCUCUCAAACUGUGAGCUCAAAACACCCUUACUCCCUUCCAGUGUCUCCACCAGGCAUUUCAUCGCACCCCCAAAAGGAACUGAUAGACACUAUUCUAUAUUGGCCUAUAACUUUCUUUUUUUGCAAUGGUUUUGUUAGCUUUUGCUAUCAGGGUAAACUGAGGCCUCCAAAGAAAGCUGGGAGGUGUUCCCACUCUUUCUACUCUCUGAGAAUGUUUAGGUAUAAGAAACAUGAUUUCAUUCUUAAGCAUCUGGUGAAAUUUAUCAGCAGUUUCACCUGAAGCUGUAGUCUCCUUUGCAGAGGAUCUGAAAUGAUGCAUU